UAAUGCUUUGGGCUUGGUUGGCUAGUGUUCUUCCUUCUUCCUUUCCUUCCUUCCUUUCUUUUUUCUUCCUUUCCUUUCUUUUCUUUUCUUUUCUCCUUCCUUUCUCCCUUUCUCUCUUUCUUUCUUUCUUUCUUUCUUUCUUUCUUUCUUUCUUUCUUUCUUUCUUUCUUUCUUUCUUUCUUUCUUUCUUUCUUUCUUUCUUUCUUUCUUUCUUUCUUUCUCUUUCCUUCUUUCUUUCUUUCUUUCCUUCCUUCUUUCUUCUUUCUUUGUUCUUUCUUUCUUUCUCUCUUCCCUUCUCUUUUCUCUCCUGUUUCUUUCCUUCUCUCUCUUUUUUGCUUCUUUCCUUCUUCUUUCCCUUUUCCCCUUCUUUCUUCCUUUCCCUUUACUUUCUGUCUUAGUACCAAUCUAAGACAAAAGAGCAGCAAAAAUCUAGGCAAUGGAGGUUAAGCAACUUUCCCAGGGUCACACAGCUAGAAAGUAUCUGAGGUCAAAUUUUAACUCAGGACUUCCUGACUCCAUGCCUGGCACCCUAUUCCCUCUGCUACCUAGCUACCCAGCCAGUGUUCCCUCCCUAAUGUUAAUGCCACACUGAAUGCCAAGACUGUAACUAGGCAAUCUUUAAUAUUGAGCAAGUUUAUUUGAGAGAAGAU
rnacentral:lncRNA from 1 species